rnacentral:tmRNA from 1 species
GGGGGUGUAUUGGUUUCGACUGGCGGAUUUUCAUGCCACCAGCUGCAGGUCAAGCGCCAACUUGUUAAACUAGCAAAACCUUUAACUGCCAAGAAAGAAGACGAUUUCGUCCUCGACGAAGCAGAAUUCGCUCUCGCUGCUUAAUCGCAGCCAGAACGGACAAGGUUUGGGACGCCCUGCCCUAGGCCCCAAGCCCUGUAAACCCUUAGGGCUUAUCUACAGCUGACGGAUGUAGGUUGUAGAGACAUCCUUCACCCUGGGUUCCCCUAGGACCGACCGACUGCCGCCGGGAACUAAGAUUCAUUAGCCGGAUCUAAGCCUGUAGACGCCGAUGGAUGGACCGUCAGGACGGGGGUUCGACUCCCCCCACCUCCAUC